rnacentral:lncRNA from 1 species
CAAAAUGUUCUGUGGCUUCUAAAGAUGCUUUUUCUAAUGGAAAUGCUUUUUAGAUAUUUCUAGGAAUGUAUUGUACAUUAACACAGGUGAUAUUUCUAUUAUUGGUUGCCUUUUUUCUGGAACAAUCUUUUUGGCAGUUUGUAUUUUAAAAAGAAGAAGAAGAAGAAGCAGCUUCAGCACUUUUCUGGUGUUCCAAGAAUUAUAACAAUGCUAAACAGCUAACUAAUUCUGUCUGACAGAAAGCAAUAAUGGCUCUUUGCUGACCGUAACACAUCAGCCUGUGGGCAACUUCUUGUUAUGUGUUCAGAGUAGAUAGACAUGCUGGAACAAGUGGUUUGUUGCUGCAAAGUCAUAAUUCCAGUUAGUUUCUACAGAGCUAAUGAGCAAGUACUGUUCUUGAACAAUGUAUGAGAGAGAGAAAAUCUUAAAAUGAAAAAAAAGUACAAAAAAUGUAAGACUGAAAUACUACAUGUCUGAACAUGAGUAAUUCCUGUUUCUGGCGUCAGUGCUCUGAUAUGAAAUUUUCAGAUCACGAGUCAUAGAUUUAGAAUUGGGCCUUCUUGAAUUUAUGACAUGCUCAAACUUGCCAAUGGAAAGCUCUCCACAAACUCGGAGUAAUUCUUUCAAAGCUGUAAGUAUUAUAGAUGCUCACAUGGAGCACUGAUGUUGGGAGAAUAUUUAAUGUUUUAAUGUCUAUCUUUUAUUUCAUUUUAGCAGUUGGAGAAAAGGAGGAAAAGUGACAAAAAUAGGCCUAUUCACGGAUAACUCAAGCUCAGACAACAUCACGAUGGAGACCAAAUAUAAGUCAAUGACAUUGUGAGGUGAGGGAAAACAUAAUGAAGCAUCUACCCAUUCCUAACUGGCUGACCCAGCUUGGUCUCCCAGAAUAUUGCACGCUCUUUGAACAGUAUGAUGGCGUAGAGGACCUACUCCAUCUUACAGAGGUUGAUCUUAGGAAAAUGGGAAUUGGAAAUCAAGUCCACCGAACAUACAUCAUUUCCAAUAUCCUGCUGCUUCAGGAAAUAGAAAAAAAGAGAGGAUAUUUACACCCAAGGUGGCUUUACCUGCUGUAUUCCGGAUUCUGGGAAGGCUGCGGAGCAGAUCAGUGCCGUCGGCAUGGGCUGCCUGCAGCCUGCUUUGUUUUCUCAGUGGGGCGAAUGACUGUUAUCCAGUCUCCAGCCUAUUAUGGCAUGUUUUUGUUUUGUGGCUGUCUUUGGCAGAGUACUGUGUCUAGCAGCAAAGUGCUUAAUCAGUUACACUGA